GAGUUUUCUGACUCACUUUAACGAUGUGUUCAAACAACUAACUUGCUAAUGAAUCCGUAUUUAUCGAGUAAUUUAAACCUUAUUGCGAAGCAAAACACGGUUAGUCCAAAUCAGGAUGAACUAGCUCGGAAUCCCCAUGUACAAUGACACUGUUCGAGUAAUCGCCAUGUAUUCAUACCCGCAAUUGGCGGACACUGUGUUCCGAAACACGAAUACGAUUUUGUGGAAGCAUUUUUGCGCACGGUUCUACCGUGUUGAAUGACACGUUGCCGUGUUUUACCCCUCUGCGUCGAGUUUAAAAACCCGAAUGGGGUUAUUUGGGCCGCGAUCUUGAGGGACAUUAACACCAAUUAACACUGUGGGUUGUUAACUUACUCGGUUCAGUUUCGCGCCAAAUGCAGCGCCGCGUGGGCCUCAGUCGCCAUCUUUGUGCGAUCCAGAGAGGUCGUGUCUGUGCUGCGUGUGACGUCUUGUUGAAUACGGCUCAAGAUGAGCAGAAUGAAGGUAAAUCUCCAAGUCCCACAGUCAGAGCUCAAGACUGUGAGGCAGGACUUCAUUCCUUGAUGAAUGCGGCUCAACUGCUAACAGGAUAAGAAGACACGAACCAGGAGAAGUUGGACGCUUUUUAGAAUUUCCUCUCGUACCGCUAUAGUGUCAUGGGUGGAGGGGAGCGAGGCUGCCAUCUCCGAAGACAACACGCCUCUGAGUGUGCGCCUCCUAGUUUGUGCGGCAAUGUUUUCGGUGUUCAAUGAGAAAAUUCAAUGCCCCAGCGCUCAGAACUCCCAGCUAGUAUUGACGCAAUAGCUCUCCCAAAUGUCGACCGGAAAGUCGUUAAAAAAAUCGUUGCGACGAUCGGCUCGACAAGCUGAAGACCGCGCCAGUGAAUGCAUGUGAAACGGCACCUCUACUCUCCCAUCGCCAGGCCCAAAGACGUGUUGUUCAUAGGUGUCUUUCACAAUACUAGUGUUGCUGAUCGCGGAGGACCACUGUCCACUGCUCGUCCGCCGUGGUGUUACUUCUGAUGAGGCUCAGAGCGCAUGUGUAUUGUUUAUACUGUGAACAAUCUGUUGAAAUAUAUAAUGAGUAGAUCUGUA